rnacentral:rRNA from 1 species
AUACGGAGGAUGCAAGCGUUAUCCGGAUUCAUUGGGUUUAAAGGGUGCGCAGGCGGAGAUAUAAGUCAGUGGUGAAAAACUGCCGCUCAACGGUAGUCUUGCCAUUGAUACUGUUUCUCUUGAGUAUGGAUGAGGUAGGCGGAAUGUGCAGUGUAGCGGUGAAAUGCAUAGAUAUUGCACGGAACACCAAUUGCGAAGGCAGCUUGCUGGGCCAUUACUGACGCUCAGGCACGAAAGCGUGGGGAUCAAACAGGAUUAGAUACCCUGGUAGUCCACGCAGUAAACGAUGUUCACUCGCUGUUUGCGAUAUACUGUAAGCGGCUUAGUUAAAGCAUUAAGUGAACCACCUGGGGAGUACGAUCGCAAGGUUGAA